GAUCAAGCGCGACAAGGGCAUUUGGUGGAUGCCUUGGCAUGCACAGGCGAUGAAGGACGUGAUAUGCUGCGAUAAGCUAUGGGGAGCUGCAAAUAAGCAUUGAUCCGUAGAUUUCCGAAUGGGGGAACCCACCUUAGACGUCUAGGAAAGUGUACAUUACGGUUUAAUUUUCUAGGUGUUUAUAGGUAUCAUUAUCUGAAUAAAAUAGGAUAAAAGAAGCGAACGCAGGGAACUGAAACAUCUAAGUACCUGUAGGAAAGGACAUCAAUUGAGACUCCGUUAGUAGUGGCGAGCGAACGCGGAUCAGGCCAGUGUUAAGAUAGAUUAAAGUAGAAUUACCUGGGAAGGUAAGCCAUAGUGUGUGAUAGCCCCGUAUACGUAAUGAUCUUUUUUAACCUUGAGUAGGGCGGGACACGUGAAAUCCUGUCUGAACACGGGGCGACCACGCUCCAAGCCUAAGUACUCGUGCAUGACCGAUAGUGAACUAGUACCGUGAGGGAAAGGCGAAAAGAACCCCUACUAGGGGAGUGAAAUAGACCCUGAAACCGAAUGCCUACAAACAGUCGAAGGCCGCGAGGCUGACGGCGUACCUUUUGUAUAAUGGGUCAACGACUUAGUGUGACAAGCGAGCUUAAGCCGAUAGGUGUAGGCGCAGCGAAAGCGAGUCUGAAUAGGGCGUUUAGUUUGUUGCAUUAGACCCGAAACCGAGUGAUCUAGCCAUGAGCAGGUUGAAGGUUGGGUAACACCAAUUGGAGGACCGAACCCGUAUCUGUUGCAAUAGAUUGGGAUGACUUGUGGCUAGGGGUGAAAGGCCAAUCAAACUCGGAGAUAGCUGGUUCUCCGCGAAAUCUAUUUAGGUAGAGCGUUAACUGAAUACCCUCGGGGGUAGAGCACUGGAUAGGCUAUGGGGGCUUACCGCCUUACUGCUCCUAACCAAACUCCGAAUACCGAGGAGUACUAGUUGGCAGACACACAGUGGGUGCUAACGUCCAUUGUGGAGAGGGCAACAACCCUGACCUCCAUUUAAGGUCCCGAAGUCAUGGCUAAGUGGGAAAGGAUGUGGAAAUCCCAAAACAACCAGGAUGUUGGCUUAGAAGCAGCCAUCAUUUAAAGAAAGCGUAACAGCUCACUGGUCUAGGUAAGGAUUUUUGCGCCGAAAAUGUAACGGGGCUAAAGCCAUGCACCGAAGAUGAGGAUUUGUUUUACUUUAUAAGUUUGCAAGUGGUAGCGGAGCGUUCCGUAAGCUGAUGAAGGAGGACUUGUGAGAGCCUCUGGAGGUAUCGGAAGUGAGAAUGUUGACAUGAGUAACGAUAAAGAGGGUGAGAAACCCUCUCGCCGAAAGACCAAGGGUUCCUGCUUAAAGUUAAUCUGAGCAGGGUUAGCCGGCCCCUAAGGUGAGGCGGAAACGCGUAGCUGAUGGGAACCACAUUAAUAUUUGUGGGCCUGAUGGAAGUGACGGAUCAAGUAUAUUGUACAUUUUUAUUGGAUUAGAUGUGCAUUGGAUUGGUUCCAGGAAACAGCUCCAUUUUAUAGACCGUACCCUAAACCGACACAGGUGGUCAGGUAGAGCAUACUAAGGCGCUUGAGAGAACUGCGUUGAAGGAACUCGGCAAAUUGCACGCGUAACUUCGGGAUAAGCGUGACCUUUUUUUGGGCAACCAAUAGGAGGUGUCACAGACCAGGGGGUAGCGACUGUUUACCAAAAACACAGGGCUCUGCGAAGUCGUAAGACGAAGUAUAGGGCCUGACGCCUGCCCGGUGCUGGAAGGUUAAUAGGAGGGGUGAGAGCUCUGAAUUGAAGCCCCAGUAAACGGCGGCCGUAACUAUAACGGUCCUAAGGUAGCGAAAUUCCUUGUCGGGUAAGUUCCGACCUGCACGAAUGGCGUAACGACUUCCCCACUGUCUCCAACGCAGACUCAGUGAAAUUGAAUUCCCCGUGAAGAUGCGGGGUUCCUGCGGUUAGACGGAAAGACCCCGUGCACCUUUACUAUAGCUUUACAUUGGCGUUUGUUUUGAUAUGUGUAGGAUAGGUGGUAGGCAUUGAAGCAAGGACGCUAGUUUUUGUGGAGUCAUCCUUGAAAUACCACCCUUAUCAAAGUGGAUGUCUAACUGCGCUCCGUUAUCCGGGGCCGGGACAUUGUAUGGUGGGUAGUUUGACUGGGGCGGUCGCCUCCGAAAGAGUAACGGAGGCGCGCGAUGGUAGGC
rnacentral:rRNA from 1 species